rnacentral:rRNA from 1 species
GACGAACGCUGGCGGCGUGCCUAACACAUGCAAGUCGAGCGAGAGGCUUCGGUCUCUAGCGGCGGACGGGUGAGUAACACGUGGGUAACCUGCCUUAUAGAGGGGGAUAGCCUUCCGAAAGGGAGAUUAAUACCGCAUAAGAAGUAAAGAUCACAUGGUCUUAGCUUUAAAGGAGUAAUCCGCUAUAAGAUGGACCCGAGGCGCAUUAGCUAGUUGGGGAGGUAACGGCUCACCAAGGCGACGAUGCGUAGCCGACCUGAGAGGGUGAUCGGCCACAGUGGAACUGAGAGACGGUCCAGACUCCUACCGGUGGCAGCAGUGGGGAAUAUUGCACAAUGGGGGAAACCCUGAUGCAGCAAAGCCGCGUGAGUGAGGAAGGACUUCGGAUUGUAAAGCUCUGUUGUAGGGGACGAUAAUGACGGUACCCUACAAGGAAGGCACGGCUAACUAGGUGCCAUCCGCCGCAGUAACAC